GUACGUGAAUGAGUAAGUUAGUAAGUAAGUGAAUGAGUAAGUUAGUAACUAAGUGAAUGAGUAAGUUAGUAAGUAAGUGAAUGAGUAAGUUAGUAAGUAAGUGAAUGAGUAAGUUAGUAGGUACGUGAAUGAGUAAGUUAGUAGGAAAGUUAAUGAGUAAAUUAGUAAGUGAGUAAAUAAAUGAAUUAAUAAAUAAACAGAUUAAGGGCUCAUGGUGGCUUAGUGGUUAGCACUCGCUAACUUAGUGGUUCACCUCACACCUCCAAGGUUGGGGGUUCGAUUCCCACCAUGGCCCUGUAUGUGCAGAGCUUGCAUGUUCUCCCCAUGCUGUGGGGGUUUCCUCCAGGUACUCCGGUUUCCUCCCCAGUGCAAAGACAUGCAUGGUAGACUGAUUGGCAUGUCUAAAGUGUCCGUAGUGUAUGAAUGGGUGUGUGAAUGUGUAUGCGAAUGUGC
ensembl:lncRNA